rnacentral:rRNA from 1 species
UUGUGUGACCGCGUACUUUUUGUAGAACGGGCCAACGAGUUACGUUAAGUAGCAAGGUUAAGCACGUAAGGUGCGGAGCCGUAGCGAAAGCGAGUUUUAACUGAGCGUUCAGUUACUUGACGGAGACCCGAAACCGGGCGACCUACCCAUGAGCAGGAUGAAGCGAAAGUAAAAUUUCGUGGAGGUCCGAACCCACGAGCGUUGAAAAGCUCGGGGAUGACUUGUGGGUAGCGGUGAAAUUCCAAUCGAGCCCGGAGAUAGCUGGUUCUCCCCGAAAUAGCUUUAGGGCUAGCCUCAAGGUGAGAGAUACGGA